rnacentral:lncRNA from 1 species
UCACAGGCUCUGGAAAGACUGCUCUGGAACCUGCUUCAUCUUCAACUUCGACAUCCCCCUGUCCUUCCUCAGACUCCAGCUUCUCAUCAUCCUCAGAAGAAGAGGAAAAGAAGAAAAAGAAAAAGAAGAAGACCAAUAAGUCCAAAAAACACCCUGAUUCUCAUAGCCGUUCAAGGAUGACCACAACGGAUGGAGUUAUCCGCCGCUACAAGAAUGUCCUGUCCAUAUUCAAUAAGCAUGGAUCCAUGAAAAAGGCCUUCGCCAAAAUUAACGUCGACCGCAACACAAUUGCGAGAACAGCUGUGAUUGCUGAACUAGCAAUCACAUUUCCAGACACCUUCAAGGACCUGCUUCCACGAGAUGAAGCUAAUGAGAAGAUGUCUGCAUUUGCAGAGCGUUGCAGGGGAGCUAUAACACAGGAGAUGGCUGAAAUUAUCACAGCAAAGAAAAAAAGUGGA